ACAGCCAUAUCACAUUGAAACACCAGUCCUUGUAUGAUUCCUGAAGUUAAGCAAUAUCGAACCUGAUUAGUACCUAGAUAGGUGAUCUCUUGAGAAUACCAGGUGUUGUAU